GCCUGGGUGGCUCAGUUGGUUAGGCAACUGACUUCAGCUCAGGUCAUGAUCUCGCGGUUCGUGGGUUCGAGCCCCGCGUCGGGCU
rfam:Felis catus isolate Cinnamon breed Abyssinian chromosome C1, whole genome shotgun sequence.